AUUGAACGCUGGCGGCAGGCCUAACACAUGCAAGUCGAACGGUAACAGGAAACAGCUUGCUGUUUCGCUGACGAGUGGCGGACGGGUGAGUAAUGUCUGGGAAACUGCCUGAUGGAGGGGGAUAACUACUGGAAACGGUAGCUAAUACCGCAUAACGUCGCAAGACCAAAGAGGGGGACCUUCGGGCCUCUUGCCAUCGGGUGUGCCCAGGUGGGAUUAGCUAGUGGGUGGGGUAACGGCUCACCUAGGCGACGAUCCCUAGCUGGUCUGAGAGGAUGACCAGCCACACUGGAACUGAUACACGGUCCAGACUCCUACGGGAGGCAGCAGUGGGGAAUAUUGCACAAUGGGCGCAAGCCUGAUGCAGCCAUGCCGCGUGUAUGAAGAAGGCCUUCGGGUUGUAAAGUACUUUCAGCGGGGAGGAAGGGAGUAAAGUUAAUACCUUUGCUCAUUGACGUUACCCGCAGAAGAAGCACCGGCUAACUCCGUG
rnacentral:rRNA from 1 species